rnacentral:lncRNA from 1 species
CUCGUAAGGGUGUACGUGUUUGGCUUGGUACAUUCAACACUGCUGAAGAAGCUGCAAGAGCCUAUGAUGCAGAAGCUCGUAGAAUCCGUGGCAAGAAAGCCAAGGUGAACUUCCCUGAGGAAGCACCCACCGGUCUUCAAAAGCACCUCACGAAAUUAACUGCACCAAAAGCACCAACAUCGGACCGCCCACAAGAAAGUCUCAACUUCAACCAGUCUUUCGGUUGCCUGAAUGAUAUUGAUCAUGAUAUCUACUCGACUUUUGAUCUGUUUGAGGAAAAGGUGCCCAUCAAACAACCUAUGAGUCAGAACUCCACCGAGAUAGAACCAGCUCCACCUACCGACGGACCUGGGAUGAUGUAUUCUGAUCAGGGAAGCAAUUCCUUUGGCUAUUCUGAAUUUGGUUGGGAACAUGAGGUUAAAACUCCAGAGAUCACAACAAGUCUUGAUCCAACCAUAACUGAAGUUCAAAAUUUUACAUGUCUGGAAAAUGGUGGUCCUCUGAAGAAAUUGAAGAACAAUGCCGGAGAGACGGUGCCGGCUGAGGAAAAUGAUGGUGUCAAAUUCUCUGAAGAUUUGUCUACUUUUGAGUCACUCAUGAAGUUUCUGCAGACACCUUAUCUGGAUGGUGGUUCAGAUGAUUCAAUCGAUAGCUUCCUCAAUUAU